UUAUGGGCAGUGAUGUUGAAAAACUACCUAUUUUCUGAGGGAAAAGAUUUCCCUAAUGAUUAGAAGAAACCAAUGGAUCCUCUGAGCCCGCA